rnacentral:misc_RNA from 1 species
GGAAGGAUCAUCAAAGAGUCAUUUGCUCUGCAAAUUCUCUUGAGCGCUCACUUGCGGCGUUUGGCGAAAGCUAGGCUCGCAUGGUGCGGCGCACUUGAACGCCUUACAGGCCUCUGCGCAGGAGUGGUGAACCUGAACGCAGUUGGUCUUAGUAUGUGUGCAACACGCAGACCUAGCUGACCUGCGGUGUUUCGUAUGUAUGGUGAUACAUGGUAGUGCAACGGAAAAGGAAUCCCUCCAAGGACGGUACUUGUACCUGGCCGCCCGGCAUUCAGUGUUGUUCCUACUGAGUGGCGCAGUGACGGUUUGGUGAAUGGUCGUCGGGAAACAAUAGUGUUGACCGGGACUGUAAGUUCAAAGAGCCAGCUCGCCUUGGCGCCGCCGUCUGACAAACCCCAUUGUUUACUGGUAAAGUGUUUAUGAAAUGAAUGAAAUCACAUUUGACGUGAUUGAAAAAGUACUAUUCCGAGCGGUGGAUCACUCGGCUCAUGGGUCGAUGAAGAGCGCAGCCAGCUGCGUGACUUAAUGCGAAUUGCAGACACAUUGAGCAUCGACAUCUUGAACGCACAUUGCGGCAUCAGAGUUUCGGCUCUGUUGCCACGCCUGUUCGAGGGUUGUACAAGAAAGACAGUCAACUGUUGCUUGCUUUUGCAGUUGGUCUGACAACAGUGUGAACUACCCUGCCGCCUCCGCAGGCCAUCAUUCUUAAGUGAUGUGGAAUGAUCCAUUUGUUCAGGCUGGUUGUGUUGAAUGACAAACCCGUUCGCAGACUGCGGACAGUUGAAGUGCCGGUCUGCCGAGGCAACGCCCAGACGCCUCGCGUGGACCGGACGACGGACACGUAGUGCUUGCUACUCGCAGUGCUCGACUCAGUCCUAGCAUCAAGUGCCGAUGAACUGCCUACCCUCAUCCGCGCACAGUGCUUUGGUGCGAAGCGACCGAGUCGAGCGCCGCUUGCGGCGCGGUGCUAAGUGCUCCGUACACUUGCUCUAUCAACCUCGAAUCAGACGUGAUUACCUGCCGAAUUUAAGCAUAUCACUAGGCAGAGGAAAAGAAACCAACAAGAAUUCCCUGAGUAAUGGCGAAUGAAACGGGAAAGCCCAGCACCGAAUCCUGCAGUGUCUCACUGUAGUGACAUGUGGUGUUCAGGUGGUACUAUCCAGUACUUCGGGUGCUCUAAGUUCUUUUUGAAAGAGACCACGGACCAUAGAAGGUGCCAGUCCUGUGCGAGCACCUCGUUGUAUUGGUGUGUGCUACCUUUGAGUCGAGUUGCCUGAGACCGCAGCUCAAAGCAGGUGGUAAGCCUCACCUAAGGCUAAAUAUGACCAUGAGACCGAUAGCAAACAAGUACUGUGAAGGAAAGUUGCAAAGAACUUUGAAGAGAGAGUUCAAGAGGACGUGAAACUGCUCGGAAGGAAACAGGUAGAAUCACUGAUAGUGCGGGUGUUACAGGUUGGCGGCUGGCGGUCGGGUGCUUCCUUGUUUGCAAAGACUUGGCUGUGCUCGCACUGUUGGUCGCUUGCUGCAUUUCACCCGCACGAGCGCUGAGGGCGUAUGAUUGUCCCUUGGGCGUCGGUUGGUUGACGGACGAGCUUCGGCUCGGACCAGCCUUCCGAUGCGCUUGGUGAUGGUUAUGCGUUUGAGUGUUGGCAGUGUGCAAUCGGUAUCGCUGGCAGCUGACAAUCGGGGGCAAGUGCUUGCACGAGCUCUGGAGGCCGGUGGUCGCUGGUGCCGUAGUUGCUGUUUAGCACGAUCUCAGUGUACAAGGUGGUCACCUACCUGACCCGUCUUGAAACACGGACCAAGGAGUCUAACAUGCUUGCGAGUAAAUGGGUGCAAAACCCAAAUGCGCAAUGAAAGUGAAUUUGACACACGACCUGGUGACUAACGCAGCCAGUGCAGUGUGGUGUCGUCGUGAUAGCUUGCUAUAUGGCGAACACGGAGCAGUCAUGUUGGGACCCGAAAGAUGGUGAACUAUGCCUGAGCAGGACGAAGCCAGAGGAAACUCUGGUGGAGGUCCGAAGCAGUUCUGACGUGCAAAUCGAUUGUCAGACUUGGGUAUAGGGGCGAAAGACUAAUCGAACCAUCUAGUAGCUGGUUCCCUU